rnacentral:rRNA from 1 species
CUACGGGGCGCUCCAGUGGGGAAUAUUGGACAAUGGGCGAAAGCCUGAUCCAGCAAUGCCGCGUGAGUGAUGAAGGCCUUAGGGUUGUAAAGCUCUUUUACCCGGGAUGAUAAUGACAGUACCGGGAGAAUAAGCUCCGGCUAACUCCGUGCCAGCAGCCGCGGUAAUACGGAGGGAGCUAGCGUUGUUCGGAAUUACUGGGCGUAAAGCGCACGUAGGCGGCUUUGUAAGUUAGAGGUGAAAGCCUGGAGCUCAACUCCAGAAUUGCCUUUAAGACUGCAUCGCUCGAAUCCAGGAGAGGUCAGUGGAAUUCCGAGUGUAGAGGUGAAAUUCGUAGAUAUUCGGAAGAACACCAGUGGCGAAGGCGGCUGACUGGACUGGUAUUGACGCUGAGGUGCGAAAGCGUGGGGAGCAAACAGGAUUAGAUACCCCCGUAGUC